UACGGAGGGUGCAAGCGUUGUCCGGAUUUAUUGGGUUUAAAGGGUGCGUAGGCGGGUUGGUAAGUCAGUGGUGAAAUCUUCAAGCUUAACUUGGAACUGCCGUUGAUACUAUCAAUCUUGAAUAUUGUGGAGGUUAAGGCGGAAUAUGUCAUGUAGCGGUGAAAUGCUUAGAUAUGACAUAGAACACCGAUAGCGAAGGCAGCUUGGCUACACAAUAAUUGACGCUGAGGCACGAAAGCGUGGGGAUCAAACAGG
rnacentral:rRNA from 1 species